GAGCGUCAUUUCAACCCUCAAGCCCAGCUUGGUGUUGGGAGCUGUCCUAACCGACACUCCCCAAAUUGAUUGGCGGUCACGUCGAGCUUCCAUAGCGUAGUAAUUUACACAUCGUUACUGGUAAUCGACGCGGCCACGCCGUUAAACCCCAACUUCUGAAUGUUGACCUCGGAUCAGGUAGGAAUACCCGCUGAACUUAA
rnacentral:misc_RNA from 1 species